rnacentral:rRNA from 1 species
GAGUUUGAUCCUGGCUCAGAACGAACGCUGGCGGCGUGCUUAACACAUGCAAGUCGAACGUGAUCCAGAGCUUGCUCUGGUGAAAGUGGCGCACGGGUGAGUAACGCGUGGAUAACCUGCCCUGGUAUCUGGGAUAACAUCUCGAAAGGGGUGCUAAUACCGGAUAAGCCUACGGGAUCUUCGGAUUCUGCAGGAAAAGGAGGCCUCUAUUUAUAAGCUUCCGUAUCAUGAUGGGUCCGCGUACCAUUAGCUAGUUGGUGGGGUAAUGGCCUACCAAGGCGACGAUGGUUAGCUGGUCUGAGAGGAUGAUCAGCCACACUGGAACUGAGACACGGUCCAGACUCCUACGGGAGGCAGCAGUGGGGAAUUUUGCGCAAUGGGGGAAACCCUGACGCAGCAACGCCGCGUGAGUGAUGAAGGCUUUCGGGUCGUAAAGCUCUGUCAGAGGGGAAGAAAUGAAACGUGCUAAUAUCACGUUUUCUUGACGGUACCCUCAAAGGAAGCACCGGCUAACUCCGUGCCAGCAGCCGCGGUAAUACAAGGGCGMMY